CUUUGAUUAGACAUUUGAGAUGAGUGUAGAGUUCUUAAAACUUGAAAUUUUUGCUGUGUUCACACAGAAUCAAGAACAGACAAUCUGUAAGAGACUUCCACUGGAUUCAUGUCAUGAAUCUGCUGUUACAGUGAAGUGAAUCAUGGGAACAAUUAUAUAGAGAGCCAUUUGGCAUGCCAUCACUGCAAAGGAGAUACGCAUUUUUGACAGGUCAAUGCCUAGAAUUCUCCAGCUGCUUAAAAGUUCAAGAGUUAAAUCUGGCUUUGAGACAAUCAUCAGGAAGCUUCUGCUCCACACAAACAGAUAUCAUACUUAUGACUUAGGGCCUGCAUCUAUGUAAUGGAAUUAAUAUAAUCCUGGUCCUCAUGCACAAGGCGCCAUGGUGAAUUAACUGCUUUCUUGUACACCAAUACUAUGGUAAUAAAGAAGAACACCGGAAUAAUCUUCA
rnacentral:lncRNA from 1 species